rnacentral:rRNA from 1 species
UACGUAGGGUGCGAGCGUUGUCCGGAAUUAUUGGGCGUAAAGAGCUUGUAGGCGGUCUGUCGCGUCUGCUGUGAAAAUCCGGGGCUCAACCCCGGACUUGCAGUGGGUACGGGCAGACUAGAGUGUGGUAGGGGAGACUGGAAUUCCUGGUGUAGCGGUGAAAUGCGCGGAUAUCAGGAGGAACACCGAUGGCGAAGGCAGGUCUCUGGGCCACUACUGACGCUGAGAAGCGAAAGCAUGGGGAGCGAACAGG